rnacentral:tRNA from 1 species
GGGAAUGUAGCUCAGUGGUAGGGCACUUGCUUGGCAUUCAUGAGGCCCUGGGUUCAAUCCCCAGCACCA